AUCUUCUACCAGGUUAUAAAGAUGGCGACAACACAAGACACGUACUAGAGCAGCUGUCUUGUCUUCAACUAAGACAUUUAAUUUAGCUAGAUCUAGAUCUUAAAUCGUUCUACAAACUGCUACGCUGCUAUUGAAACCUAAAUAACUGAAAGGGAAAUCCCGGUAUUAUCUAAAGAGUUAACGUCACGUUCCAAGGGACAGAACUGUCGCUGUUCAAAUUUAUCUCGCUAGAACUCAUUAAGUUUACAUUGAGACAUUUGAUCAGAUAUUCUAAAACUAAAAACAUAACUUUAAUUACAUCAUUUUCAACGUCACAGUUUACAUUGAGAUACUCUAUCAAAUAUUCUAUGAGAUGGCCGUAUCGAUUCAUAUAAAGAACCAUUUAGCUCAACUGUUGAACAGUCUGGAAGAGAUGAAUAGUUUGCUGAAAAAUAAUGUAAGUGACUUUG